UAAGUAAGACAGACAAUCGCGGAUGUAAGUGCCGAAAGGCAGCAGACGAGGAAAGUCCGGGCUUCAUAGGGCAGGAUGCCGGAUAACGUCCGGUGGAGGUGACUCCCAGGCCAGUGCAACAGAAAUAAACCGCGUCGGAUUCCAUAUCGGCGUAAGGGUGGAAAGGCAGUGUAAGAGACUACCGCCUCUGCGGUAACGGAGAGGGCACAUGUAAACCCCAUUCGAAGCAAGACCGGAUAGAAGCAAUGUGGCGGCCCGUCACGCUUCAGGUAGGUCGCUUGAGCACGGCGGCAACGUCGUGCCUAGAUAGAUGAUUGUCCACGACAUAACCCGGCUUAUCGUUUUGCUUAACAC
rfam:Ruminococcus torques CAG:61 genomic scaffold, scf7